AGGAGAGAGAUAUUCAUAUUUUUCAUUUGACUCCUGACCUUUUCACAGGCCUGUUUCUCAUUCAUUCCCAUUGCAUCAGUAUAAACCAAUAAAAUCUGACGGACAAAGCCUUGAUCAAAUAGCAGCACCGGGGAGGCAUCAGGAAAAGGAAAACUGGAGAUGAGACUGUCUCGCAGUGGCAAGCACUUGGCAAGUAAAAAUAGCUGUAAUAGCCUCAGUUUUCUGUGAAAGCACACACCCAACUUUGUUCUGCACUCUGGAAACCACUGCCUACCCGGGGAGUGCCAGCGCCUCAGACUGUGGUGGUCAGCCUCACUCAGUAUUGUCUGGCUGGAAACUCGGGGCACUGCCAGGCCUGAGCUCCUCACAGGGGUAUUCAUUACCAACCUCAGGCCAUUCCAGAAUCAGCGGGUCAGCAGAGCUGCUUUAUACCCCUCAGAGAAGAGGACCUUGUAAAUGCUUUAUGAUGUAGCACUGGCAACAUUUGGCAUUUACAUUU